GUUCCCGUGGUGUAGUGGUUAUCACGUGCGCCCCACACGCGCAAGGUCCCCGGUUCGAACCCGGAUGGGAAAA
rnacentral:tRNA from 1 species